AUGGGGCAUGGGCUUCAGGAGUAUGCAAGCAGAAAUGGAGGGAGGAAAAUGCGUAUUGAUUUUACGCAGGGAAAUAGACCUACAGACCCAGUCCAAGCUGCAAAGCUUUCUUCUGAGUGUGGCAUCCACAUCAGGAGCCGAAUGCAUGUUGCUACGCACUGGAAUGACUAUCACAAAAGCCCACUCACACAUGUUAUUCCCCAUGCUAUUAAAGAUAUCGCGCUUAACUUUCAGAUGGAAAAGGAUGAAAAGGUUGGGAAUGAUGUAUGCACAAAAGUAAUCCAGAAGGGUGUUCGACAACAAUGCUACAGGCUAAAGAAGAAAUACUUCAAUGGUUAUACUGCUCAGGAAGCAUUAACAAAUAAGCCAGUGAACAUCACUCAUGAGAAUUGGACCAGCCAUGUCAAUAAAUGGUCUGAUGAAAGAAACAAGGAAAUAUGUCAAAUGAAUAAGGAAAACCGAGAAGCUGUCAAGCAUCACCAAAAGACUGGAUCUAUGUCUUAUAUUGCCUUUUUCAGCAAACUUAAAAAAGACAAGUAUAAUAAUCAGGACCAAAGUCCCAUUGAGUUUUUCAAAGACACCCAUACAAAUAGCAAGACUAGUAGCAUGAGCAAGCCGACACUUCUAGCUCAUAAUGUGAUGGAAAACAAAAGGGAACCACAAUCAGAAGGUGAGUAGCUAGUAUCCGAUACAGUGAUUGUGGCUGAAGUUCUAACAGAAGAAAGUGCCCAUAGCACCUUCCUUUCUAGCAUGGGGUAUGCAUCAAGAUCCGGGAGGUCUGGGAGCUCUACUUCAUCAGCCCAGAUCCGAGUUUUAGCAGAAAGAAUUGAAUAGAAGGAUAGAGAGGCAAGAGAUGAAAAUAACAGGCAUCGGGAGGAGUUAUCCGCAAGGCUAGAAGCACAAGAGAGAGCAUUUGAAGAGAUACAAAAGAAACAACAGGAACAAUUGGAAGCUCUAAAGAAGAGCCAGCAAGAGAAGAAUGAAGCUUGUGUAAAGAAGCAAAAGGAGACGGAUAAUCUGCUAGAUUUUUGCUUGAGGGCUCAAGCAACUCAGCAAUCCCAGUCCAAACCAGAUGGUUCAUGA
rnacentral:rRNA from 1 species